rnacentral:rRNA from 1 species
GCAGUCGAGCGGUAGAGAGGUGCUUGCACCUCUUGAGAGCGGCGGACGGGUGAGUAAAGCCUAGGAAUCUGCCUGGUAGUGGGGGAUAACGCUCGGAAACGGACGCUAAUACCGCAUACGUCCUACGGGAGAAAGCAGGGGACCUUCGGGCCUUGCGCUAUCAGAUGAGCCUAGGUCGGAUUAGCUAGUUGGUGAGGUAAUGGCUCACCAAGGCGACGAUCCGUAACUGGUCUGAGAGGAUGAUCAGUCACACUGGAACUGAGACACGGUCCAGACUCCUACGGGAGGCAGCAGUGGGGAAUAUUGGACAAUGGGCGAAAGCCUGAUCCAGCCAUGCCGCGUGUGUGAAGAAGGUCUUCGGAUUGUAAAGCACUUUAAGUUGGGAGGAAGGGCAUUAACCUAAUACGUUAGUGUUUUGACGUUACCGACAGAAUAAGCACCGGCUAACUCUGUGCCAGCAGCCGCGGUAAUACAGAGGGUGCAAGCGUUAAUCGGAAUUACUGGGCGUAAAGCGCGCGUAGGUGGUUCGUUAAGUUGGAUGUGAAAUCCCCGGGCUCAACCUGGGAACUGCAUUCAAAACUGUCGAGCUAGAGUAUGGUAGAGGGUGGUGGAAUUUCCUGUGUAGCGGUGAAAUGCGUAGAUAUA